rnacentral:rRNA from 1 species
UACGGAGGGUGCAAGCAUUGAUCGGAAUUACUGGGCGUAAAGGGCGCGUAGGCGGUCUGAAAAGUCAGAUGUGAAAUUCCGGGGCUCAACCCCGGAGCUGCAUUUGAAACUUUCAGACUUGAGGUUGGUAAGGGAAAACAGAAUUCCACGUGUAGCGGUGAAAUGCGUAGAUAUGUGGAAGAAUACCGGUGGUGAAGACGGGUGACUGGGCUGGUUCUGACACUGAGGCACGAAAGCGUGGGGAGCGAACGGG